GCCAGCAGCCGCGGUAAUACGGAGGGUGCUAGCGUUAUCCGGAAUCAUUGGGUUUAAAGGGUCCGCAGGCGGUCAAUUAAGUCAGAGGUGAAAUCCCAUAGCUUAACUAUGGAACUGCCUUUGAUACUGGUUGACUUGAGUUAUACGGAAGUAGAUAGAAUAAGUAGUGUAGCGGUGAAAUGCAUAGAUAUUACUUAGAAUACCGAUUGCGAAGGCAGUCUACUACGUAUAUACUGACGCUCAUGGACGAAAGCGUGGGGAGCGAACAGGAUUAGAUACCCUGGUAGUCCACGCCGUAAACGAUGGACACUAGUUGUUGGAAUUAUUCAGUGACUAAGCGAAAGUGAUAAGUGUCCCACCUGGGGAGUACGAUCGCAAGAUUGAAACUCAAAGGAAUUGACGGGGGCCCGCACAAGCGGUGGAGCACGUGGUUUAAUUCGAUGAUACGCGAGGAACCUUACCAGGGCUUAAAUGUAAGAUGCAUUAGUUAGAGAUAGCUAUUUCUUCGGACUUCUUACAAGGUGCUGCAUGGUUGUCGUCAGCUCGUGCCGUGAGGUGUCAGGUUAAGUCCUAUAACGAGCGCAACCCUUGUCGUUAGUUGCCAGCAUGUAAAGAUGGGGACUCUAACGAGACUGCCGGUGUAAACCGCGAGGAAGGUGGGGAUGACGUCAAAUCAUCACGGCCCUUACGUCCUGGGCUACACACGUGCUACAAUGGUAUGGACAAUGAGCAGCCACUAUG
rnacentral:rRNA from 1 species